GUACAGCAGGUACAGACUGUGCAGCAGGUACAACAUGUCUAUCCCGCUCAGGUGCAGUAUGUGGAAGGAAGCGAUACUGUCUAUACCAAUGGAGCAAUCCGAACAACAACGUAUCCUUACACAGAGACACAGAUGUACAGCCAAAAUACUGGAGGGAAUUACUUUGAUACUCAAGGGAGUUCCGCCCAGGUGACUACCGUGGUCUCAUCCCACAGUAUGGUGGGCACUGGUGGGAUUCAGAUGGGCGUCACAGGAGGACAACUCAUCAGCAGCUCUGGAGGAACCUAUCUGAUCGGCAACUCAAUGGAGAAUUCUGGUCACUCAGUGACACACACAACUCGGGCCUCCCCAGCGACAGCCAACUCAGUCCCUGAAAUGAAACUCCUCAGACAGAUUACCAUGAACCGUCUGUUUCCUACACUAAAUCAUAAAUUGACUGAAGGUUCUGGGCCUCAUUUUCAAAGCAUUUAAUAAAAUGGGACUUUGAAUGAC
rnacentral:lncRNA from 1 species